AUACGGAGGGUGCAAGCGUUACUCGGAAUCACUGGGCGUAAAGCGCGCGCAGGCGGUCUUUUAAGUUGGAUGUGAAAGCCUACGGCUCAACCGUAGAACUGCAUCCAAAACUAUUAGACUAGAGUGUGGGAGAGGAAGAUGGAAUUAGUUGUGUAGGGGUAAAAUCCGUAGAGAUAACUAGGAAUACCAAAAGCGAAGGCAAUCUUCUGGAACACUACUGACGCUGAGGCGCGAAAGCAUGGGGAGCAAACAGGAUUAGAAACCCUAGUAGUCC
rnacentral:rRNA from 1 species